rnacentral:rRNA from 1 species
CCUACGGGUGGCAGCAGUAGGGAAUUUUCGUCAAUGGGCGCAAGCCUGAACGAGCAAUGCCGCGUGAACGAGGAAGGUCUUCGGUUCGUAAAGUUCUGUUGGCGGGGAAAAAGAGCGGAGAGAGGAAAUGCUUUCUGACUGAUAUUACCCUUCGAGGAAGUCACGGCUAACUACGUGCCAGCAGCUGCGGUAAUACGUAGGUGGCGAGCGUUAGCCGGAAUGAUGGGGGGUAAAGGGUGCGUAGGCGGACUGCUAGGCCUGGGGUGAAGGGUACCGGCUCAACCGGUACAGGCUCUGGAAACUGGCGGGAUAGAGGGAAGGAGAGGGCAGUGGAACUCCAUGUGUAGCGGUAAAAUGCGUAGAUAUAUGGAAGAACACCAGUGGCGAAGGCGGCCGCCUGGACUGUUACUGACGCUGAGGCACGAAAGCGUGGGGAGCAAAUAGGAUUAGAUACCCGUGUAGUC